UGGAGAAUUCUCAGUGAGGUGGU
rnacentral:piRNA from 1 species